rnacentral:rRNA from 1 species
UGGCGGCAGGCCUAAUACAUGCAAGUCGAGCGCGCCCUUCGGGGUGAGCGGCGGACGGGUGAGUAACGCGUGGGAAUAUGCCCUCAUCUAAGGAAUAGCCUCUGGAAACGGAGAGUAAUACCUUAUACGCCCUUUGGGGGAAAGAUUUAUCGGAGAAGGAUUAGCCCGCGUUAGAUUAGGUAGUUGGUGGGGUAAUGGCCUACCAAGYCUACGAUCUAUAGCUGGUUUGAGAGGAUGAUCAGCCACACUGGGACUGAGACACGGCCCAGACUCCUACGGGAGGCAGCAGUGGGGAAUCUUAGACAAUGGGGGCAACCCUGAUCUAGCCAUGCCGCGUGUGUGAUGAAGGCCCUAGGGUCGUAAAGCUCUUUCGCCAGAGAUGAUAAUGACAGUAUCUGGUAAAGAAACCCCGGCUAACUCCGUGCCAGCAGCCGCGGUAAUACGGAGGGGGUUAGCGUUGUUCGGAAUUACUGGGCGUAAAGCGCACGUAGGCGGAUUGUUAAGUUAGAGGUGAAAUCCCAGGGCUCAACCCUGGAACUGCCUUUAAUACUGCUAGUCUUGAGUUCGAGAGAGGUAUGUGGAAUUCCGAGUGUAGAGGUGAAAUUCGUAGAUAUUCGGAGGAACACCAGUGGCGAAGGCGGCUUACUGGCUCGAUACUGACGCUGAGGUGCGAAAGUGUGGGGAGCAAACAGGAUUAGAUACCCUGGUAGUCCACACCGUAAACGAUGAAUGCCAGACG